GUCCAGUGGUACCGGUGAUUAUUUUGAAAAACAUUGCAGCGGAAAUUUCAUCAGGACCGUGAGUUAGGAAAAAUAUCAGAGUUUAGAAACACCAGAUUUUAUUUAAAUAGAUGGAAUAAAUUCCAUGUUUUACAAAGUGAGGGUUGUUACAGGUGGAGUGGUGGCAAAGUGGGAGAAUAGUGGUUUGCCAAGGGAUGUCUUUGAAGUGAGUAAAGCACCCCUAUUUAUAGCCUGAACAGAAGCCCGGCCACGGUCCCGUGUCCAGCGGACACGCCCCCGUGGCCAUCCUUUUCUCUUCCUUCAUUAAAUGCAUUUGUCAACAUAGGGCUCCAC
rnacentral:lncRNA from 1 species